GCAUAAUCAAUAGUUUAUUUAUUGUAAACUGGGAUGAAGGGUAGAUACUGAUAGGAAGGUUUUAUUUAAUAAAUUUGAAUUUAAAUUAAAAGUAAAAAUGCUUUUAUAAAUUUAUGGGACGAGAAGACCCUAGAAGCUUUUAAAAGUGAAAAAUUUUUUUAUUGGGGUAAUAUGUGAAGAGAAAAAUUUUUAUUCAAGAAUAAAAAGGCUUUAUAAUUAGAGUGUAGUUGUUAUUUAAAUAUAUCAAGAUAUUGGACUUUAAGGGUUAUAAAAUAUAUAAAUUAUGUUAAGUUACUCUAGGGAUAACAGCGUUAUUUAAUUAGCAAGUUCUUAUUAAUAAUUAAGGUUGCGACCUCGAUGUUGAAUUAAAU
rnacentral:rRNA from 1 species